rnacentral:rRNA from 1 species
CCUACGGGAGGCAGCAGUCGGGAAUAUUGCGCAAUGGAGGAAACUCUGACGCAGUGACGCCGCGUAUAGGAAGAAGUUUUUCGGAAUGUAAACUAUUGUCGUUAGGGAAGAGAAAGGACAGUACCUAAGGAGGAAGCUCCGGCUAACUACGUGCCAGCAGCCGCGGUAAUACGUAGGGAGCGAGAGUUAUCCGGAAUUAUUGGGUGUAAAGGGUGCGUAGACGGGAAAACAAGUUAGUUGUGAAAUCCCUCGGCUUAACUGAGGAACUGCAACUAAAACUAUUUUUCUUGAGUGCAGGAGAGGAGAAUGGAAUUCCUAGUGUAGCGGUGAAAUGCGUAGAGAUUAGGAAGAACACCAGUGGCGAAGGCGAUUCUCUGGACUGUAACUGACGCUGAGGCUCGAAAGCGUGGGGAGCAAACAGGAUUAGAUACCCUGGUAGUC